rnacentral:lncRNA from 1 species
UUUGACAUUUGAUUGGAAUCUCAUAAGACUUCCAACAUUUUCUGAGUGAUUCUAGACAUAGUUUUACUUCAUUUCUAGUAAAAACUAUCUGUUAGAACUCAACAUUCAAUUUCACUUAAUAUUUCANCAAUACACAAUUUCAGAACGUGUAUGUUACAAAUACCCCCUCCUUUUGAGGAUUUCGUCCCCGAAAUCAUAACGAUUAAACAAAUGAUGAUAUUUCACUCUUAUCUCAUUCUUAUUUCAUGAUCCCGUUUCACCUCGUAUAUUAGAACUGUCUCAUCAUAGAUGCUCAAGCAUUUGUGCUGAUGGCUCAUAUGAAAUACUUCAUGAAUAUCUGUCAAAUCUUCAGGCAAUUCCAAGCAAUAUGCUUGAUUACCAAUCGUUUUUUCUUCCAAAGUCGCAUAACACCUUUCCAUGAAAUACCUUCAGUAUUACUAAAUCAUCCACCCGGAAUUCUACGGGUCGUCUCCUCUUUUCUGUGUAGGACUUCUUUCGAUCCCGGGCCGCUUUCAUUCUUUCUCGUACGAUUUGAAUCUUGUCGGUGGUGUCCUGAAUCAUUUCAGGGCCUCCAAGGAUCUUCUGUCCUACAUCACGCCAACAUAACGGAGUAUGACAUUUGCGGCCAUAUAAUGUUUCAUAUGGAGGCAUUUUGUUUGAAGUGUGGUAACUGUUAUUAUACGAAAAGUCGACAAGCGGUAAGUAUUUAUCCCAGUUACCACCGAACUCCAAGACACAUGCACGAAGCAUAUCUUCUACAGUUUGGAUUGUUCUUUCCGUCUGACCAUCUUUCUGGGGAUGAUAGACUAUGCUAAAAAAACAACUCGUGGUUCCAAUUCUCGUUGCGCAUUCGAUCAANCACGCACGAAGCAUAUCUUCUGCAGUUUGGAUUGUUCUUUCCGUCUGACCAUCUUUCUGGGGAUGAUAGACUAUGCUAAAAAAACAACUCGUGGUUCCAAUUCUCGUUGCGCAUUCGAUCAAAAAAUGAAGCAAGUAUAAUAAUUGGAACAAAUCAUUAGUGACACACCAUGUCCCGUCACAAUUUCGUCUAAAUAAACUUGUGCCUAUUUGUCCAUUGAAGCCGUUUCACAUAUGACGAGAAAAUAGGCACGCUUAAUCAGCCAUCCGGAGGUCGGCCGAGAAGGGAUACACGGCAGCGAGGGGUUCGGACACAGGGCAGAAGCAGCGCAGGCCAGCGAGGCUCGGAUACAUCAGCUGGCGUGCUUCCAUGCGGGGAGUCAUCGGCUUCGGACGCGAGGAGUCAUCAGCUUCAGACUCGUCAUCGGCGGGGUCUUCGACUCGGACAGAUGCAAGCUUCUUAGUGGACCGAACUUCGGUCCAAUGGGGAGAGAGGGUGACGAAUUCGGACCAAUCAGAGGGUGCCACGCGAGGCUGCGGUCCAAUUAGAAGAUGCCACGUGGAUCAACACUAUUCAUGCGAAAAUUAAAUGAAAAUGUGCCUAAUCUUGUAAAAUCCAUAAUUUUCUCAUACGGGCUCCGUUUUUGACGUUGUUUAUAUGCACGCGUAGCUAAAAUUACGCUCUACAACUUUCGUUUAGACUUCGUUGGCUAAUUUUGAAUUUAAUUUUAAUAUUAUUAUUUUUAACCGACCGGGACAGGAAAAUCCGUUAAAAAUUAAUAACUUCUUCACCCGACAUCCGUUUUUGUCAGACUUUUUACCGUUGUACUACUAUUGACGAGAUCUUCAAUUCUCGUUUAGGUUGUGUCGGCUAAAAACCACGCGAUCUAAAAUUCGAGUUUUUACAUGUCUACUGCUAGGCUGAAACUUCGAAAAAUCAUAACUUCCUCAUAUGAAGUCAGAUUCAAACGGUAUUUAUAUGAAUGUUGAGUAUUUUCACGAGUUCUACAAAUUUCAUUUAGAUCACUAAGGCUAAAAAUUAGUUUAUCGAAAACUAAAUUUUUACGCGACAAAGUAUUUUCCGGAUUUAUCACUGAUCUUCGUUUGGUCAUAACUUCUUCAUUAUAACUCAGAUUUCGACGAGGUUUUCGCCUACAAGUUUCUAACGAGAUUAUCUACAAUUUUCAACAAUAAAAUUUUACUUAUUCCAAAAUUUAUAUUUUCGCUAAAUUUUUACCAUUUGACAUUUGAUUGGAAUCUCAUAAGACUUCCAACAUUUUCUGAGUGAUUCUAGACAUAGUUUUACUUCAUUUCUAGUAAAAACAAUCUGUUAGAACUCAAAACUUAAUUUUAUUCACUUUAAAUAAUAACAAUACGCAAUUUCAGAACGUGUAUGUUACAAAUACCCCCUCCUUUUGAGGAUUUCGUCCCCGAAAUCACAACGAUUAAACAAAUGAUGAUAUUUCACUCUUAUCUCAUUCUUAUUUCAUUAUCCCGUUUCACCUCGUAUAUUAGAACUGUCUC